rnacentral:rRNA from 1 species
CACGUAGGGUGCGAGCGUUGUCCGGAAUUAUUGGGCGUAAAGAGCUCGUAGGCGGUGUGUCGCGUCGGCCGUGAAAACCUGCAGCUUAACUGUGGGCUUGCGGUCGAUACGGGCAUCACUGGAGUUCGGCAGGGGAGACUGGAAUUCCUGGUGUAGCGGUGAAAUGCGCAGAUAUCAGGAGGAACACCAGUGGCGAAGGCGAGUCUCUAGACAACUCCUGACACUGAGGCACGAAAGCUAGGGGAGCAAACAGG